GGUCCAAUGGUCUAGUGGUAUGACGCAACCUUCACAGGCAAUAAAACGCCCAGUACGGUUUAGGUCCCGGGUUCGAACCCCGGUUGGACCU